rnacentral:rRNA from 1 species
AUUGAACGCUGGCGGCAUGCCUUACACAUGCAAGUCGAACGGCAGCACGGGAGCAAUCCUGGUGGCGAGUGGCGAACGGGUGAGUAAUAUAUCGGAACGUGCCCAGUCGUGGGGAUAACGUAGCGAAAGCUACGCUAAUACCGCAUACGAUCUAUGGAUGAAAGCGGGGAUCGCAAGACCUCGCGCGAUUGGAGCGGCCGAUAUCAGAUUAGGUAGUUGGUGAGGUAAAGGCUCACCAAGCCGACGAUCUGUAGCUGGUCUGAGAGGACGACCAGCCACACUGGGACUGAGACACGGCCCAGACUCCUACGGGAGGCAGCAGUGGGGAAUUUUGGACAAUGGGCGCAAGCCUGAUCCAGCAAUGCCGCGGUGCAAGGAUGAAGGCCUUCGG